rnacentral:rRNA from 1 species
UACGUAGGGUGCGAGCGUUGUCCGGAAUUAUUGGGCGUAAAGAGCUCGUAGGCGGCUCGUCGCGUCGACCGUGAAAACCAGCAGCUUAACUGCUGGCUUGCGGUUGAUACGGGCGGGCUAGAGUUCGGUAGGGGAGACUGGAAUUCCUGGUGUAGCGGUGAAAUGCGCAGAUAUCAGGAGGAACACCGAUGGCGAAGGCAGGUCUCUGGGCCGAUACUGACGCUGAGGAGCGAAAGCGUGGGGAGCGAACAGG